rnacentral:rRNA from 1 species
AUUGAACGCUGGCGGCAGGCUUAACACAUGCAAGUCGAGCGGUAACAGAGAGAAGCUUGCUUCUCUGCUGACGAGCGGCGGACGGGUGAGUAAUGCCUAGGAAUCUGCCUAGUAGGGGGGGAUAACUUGCCGAAAGGUAAGCUAAUACCGCAUACGUCCUACGGGAGAAAGGAGGGGACCUUCGGGCCUUUCGCUAUUAGAUGAGCCUAGAUCGGAUUAGUUAGUUGGUGAGGUAAUGGCUCACCAAGGCCGCGAUCCGUAACUGGUCUGUGCGGAUGAUGAAUCACACGGCAACGGAGACUAGGCCCAGACUCCGACGGGAGGCAGCAGUGGGGAAUAUUGGACAAUGGGGGUAGCCAUGAAGCAGCCAUGGCGGGUGUGUGAAGAAGGGCUUAUUACUUUCAAGCGCUUUAGGUUGGGAGAAAGAGCUGUUAACUCGUAUUUGGCCGUAUUGACGUUACUGACAGAAUAAACCGCGGAUCUGAUCGAGGAAGCCACCGCCGUAA